AAUGCUCCUGUUUUAUUCAGAAUAAAGUUCAAUCUCACUUUCAUAUUGCAAUAGCCUUGAAUAAAGUUUUUUUUUUUUCCUGUAUAAAUCUAACUGGUGUAAAUAUUUUUGACAGUGAUGGUUCUGUGACUUGAAGAGGACUAGAUUCACCAUUAGACCUUGUAUCUCACACCUAGAACCCUACAUGUAUUAAAGUAUUUAUCUUCAUUCCCAACUGACUGAUUGAGGAUCCAUUGAAUUAGAGUUCUUAUAAGAACGGACACCAGAGAUCCCUCUCUCCCCCACUAUUUCUGCUCAGAGAAAUAGUCACGUGAAGAAGCAGCAAGAAGGUGGCCAUCUGAAAGUCCAGAAGAGAGAUCUCAUGGGAAAAAAAAAAAACCCCUCUGGUCAUUGAUAUGGGACUAUCAGCUUCCAGAGUUGUAUGAAAAUAAAUAUCUGGUGUUCGAGCCAAAUAGUCUGUGGCAUUCUAUUAUGGCAGUCUCAGAAGACGAAAACAGAACUUAAUACUGUGAAUGGGGUGCUGCUGUAACAAAUACCUAAGAAUGUGUAAGUGACUUUGGAACUGGCAUUGAUAAAGACUUGAGUUUACAGAUAAAUAAUAGAAAAAGCCUACAUUGUAUUUAAGGGUCUGUUGGAUGUUAAAAGCAAUUUUAGAGAGACUUAGACAGAAAUGAGGAACAUGUUAUUGAAAAUUGAAGGAAAGAGGAUCUUGUUUUAAAAUGAUGAAAAAACUUAGCUGAACAGUAUGCUAGUGUCUUGUGGAAAGUAGAACUUGGGAGCUAUGAAAUUAGAUAUUUAGCUGAGAUUUUUAAGCACAGUAUUGAAGAUGCUUCCUUCUCCUUUCUGCUUAUUGUAAAAAUGUGAAAUCAAAGUCAUAAAUUGAAGAAGUUAAGUAAAAA